rnacentral:rRNA from 2 species
AAGUCGAACGGGAUUUAGUAAACAGAAGCCUCGGCGGAAGAUUACUAAUGAGAGUGGCGAACGGGUGAGUAACGCGUGAGCAACCUGCCUAUGACAGUGGGAUAGCCUCGGGAAACCGGGAUUAAUACCGCAUAAAAUCGUAGAAACACAUGUUUUAACGGUCAAAGAUUUAUCGGUCAUAGAUGGGCUCGCGUCUGAUUAGCUAGUUGGUGAGAUAACAGCCCACCAAGGCGACGAUCAGUAGCCGGUCUGAGAGGAUGAACGGCCACAUUGGAACUGAGACACGGUCCAAACUCCUACGGGAGGCAGCAGUGGGGAAUAUUGCACAAUGGGGGAAACCCUGAUGCAGCGACGCCGCGUGAACGAAGAAGGUAUUCGUAUCGUAAAGUUCUGUCCUAUGGGAAGAUAAUGACAGUACCAUAGAAGAAAGCUCCGGCUAAAUACGUGCCAGCAGCCGCGGUAAUACGUAUGGAGCGAGCGUUGUCCGGAAUUAUUGGGCGUAAAGGGUACGCAGGCGGUUUAAUAAGUCGAAUGUUAAAGAUCGGGGCUCAACCCCGUAAAGCAUUGGAAACUGAUAAACUUGAGUAGUGGAGAGGAAAGUGGAAUUUCUAGUGUAGUGGUGAAAUACGUAGAUAUUAGGAGGAAUACCAGUAGCGAAGGCGACUUUCUGGACACA